GGUUCGAUUCUGGCUCAGAUUGAACGCUGGCGGGAUGCUUUACAUUACGGCAAGUCGAACGGCAGCACGACUUCGGUCUGGUGGCGAGUGCGAACGGGUGAGUAAUGUAUCGGAACGUGCCUAGAGUAGGGAUAACGAUGCUGGAGCAGUAGCCAAUACCGCAUACGUUCCUUCGGGAAAGUGGGGGACCUUUCGCCUCGCACUAUUAGAGCGGCCGAUAUCGGAUUAGCUAGUUGGUGGGGUAACGGCUCACCAAGGCGAUUAUCCGUAGCUGGUUUGAGAGGACGACCAGCCACACUGGGACUGGAGAGAUGACGGCCCAGACUCCGGCAUGGGAGGCAGCAGUGGGGAAAUUGGACAAUGGGGAAACCCUGAUCCAGCCAUCCGCGUGUGCGAUGAAGGCCUUCGGGUUGUAAAGCACUUUUGGCAGGAGUAAACGGCACGGGAUAAUACCCUCGUGCAACUGAUUGGUACCUGCAGAAUAAACACCGGCUAACUACGUGCCAGCAGCUGCGGUAAUAGCGUAGGGUGCACCGGAAUUACUGGGCGUAAAGGUGCGCAGGCGGUUCGGAAAGAAAGAUGUGAAAUCCCAGAGCUUAACUUUGAACUGCAUUUUUAACUACCGAGCUAGAGUGUGUCAGAGGGAGGUGGAAUUCCGCGUGUAGCAGUGAAAUGCGCAGAUACGCGGAGGAACAAUCGAUGGCGAAGGCAGCCUCGAUAACAUCGACGCUCGCAUGCACUGCGCGCAAGGAGCAAACAGGAUUAGCGGUCUGGUAGUCCACGCCCUAAAACGAUGUCAAUCUAGCUGUUGGGGCUUCGGGCCUUGUAGCGCAACUAACGCGUGAAGUUGACCGCUCUGGGGAGUACGAUCGCAAGAUUAAAACUCAAAGGAAUUGACGGGGACCUGCACAAGCGGUGGAUGAUGUGGAUUAAUUUGAUGCAACGCGAAAAACCUUACUCUACUCGAUACGUUCAACCUGAAGAGAUUUGGGAGGCUGCAAGAGAACCGGAACAGGUGUUGCAUGGUUGUCAGCUCAAAAUGAGAUGUUGGGUUAAGUCCUACAACGAGCGCAACCCUUGUCAUUAGUUGCUACGAAAGGGCACUCUAUCGAGACUGCCGGUGACAAACCGAGGAAGGUGGGGAUGAUUACCAAGUCCUCAUGGCUCUGCGGGUAGGGCUUCACACGUCAUACAAUGGUCGGGACAGAGGGUCGCCAACCCGCGAGGGGGAGCCAAUCCCAGAAACCCGAUUUGUAGUCCGGAUCGCAGUCUGCACCGAUCGCAGUAAAGUCGGAAUCGCUAGUAAUCGUAUCAGCAUGUCGCGUGAAUAUGUUCCUCUGGGUCUUGUACACACCGCCCGUCACACCAUGGGCGGGUUUUACCAGAAGUAGUUAGCCCAACUCGCAAGGAGGAAGUAUUACUUACGGUAGGAUCAUGAUCAGUAAGUCGUAAUAAAGGCAG
rnacentral:rRNA from 1 species